rnacentral:rRNA from 1 species
GAUGAACGCUGGCGGCGUGCUUAACACAUGCAAGUCGAACGGAAAGGCCCAAGCUUGCUUGGGUGCUCGAGUGGCGAACGGGUGAGUAACACGUGGGUGAUCUGCCCUGCACUUUGGGAUAAGCCUGGGAAACUGGGUCUAAUACCGGAUAGGACCAUCGUCUAGUGUCGGUGGUGGAGAGUUUUUCGGUGUUGGAUGAGCUCGCGGCCUAUCAGCUUGUUGGUGGGGUAAUGGCCUACCAAGGCGUCGACGGGUAGCCGGCCUGUGAGGGUGUACGGCCACAUUGGGACUGAGAUAUGGCCCAGACUCCUACGGGAGGGAGAAGUGGGGAAUAUUGCACAAUGGGCGCAAGCCUGAUGCAGAGAAGCGGCGUGGGGGAUGACGGCCUUCGGGUUGUAAACUCCGUUCGCGAAGGACGAAGCGUUUUGUGACGGUACUUGGAGAAGAAGCACCGGCUAACUACGUG